AGGUCGCAUACGCCUUUGUUAUUCCAGUCACUUCUUCACUGAAAGUCACAGAGUGAAGACAUGAGUCACCAUUGUAUUUCAAAGACAAAGUUUAAAAGUUAAAAAUACUUGUUACUUCUGUGACCGAGUGUUGGAAAAGCAGCAUAAGAUAGCCGGGUUCCAGUGGGCGUUGGAUUGCUGUGCUUUGUGCUUCUGAGAACUCCAAUUGGUUUUUUUGUGUGAUCCUGAAGUCUGGUUCCAAGCUGGACUUGAGUAUGAUGGCGAGCCAGUCCCAGUGAGUGAGAGUCUGCGGAGAGGGAGCGUUUGGAUGUGGUGUGGCCAGCUGCAUCGGUGUCUACACUCUGCAGUGACCUCUAAACCUUGUCUCCCAGGACAGAGUGACUGUGAUGUGUGAUGAGCCAAGGAGACGCCAACGAGGAAUCCAUCCAUCCAUUUUCUACCGCUUAUUCCCUUUCGGGGUCGCGGGGGGCGCUGGCGCCUAUCUCAGCUACAAUCGGGCGGAAGGCAGGGUACACCCUGGACAAGUCGCCACCUCAUCGCAGGGCCAACACAGAUAGACGGACAACAUUCACACUCACAUUCACACACUAGGGCCAAUUUAGUGUUGCCAAUCAACCUAUCCCCAGGUGCAUGUCUUUGGAAGUGGGAGGAAGCCGGAGUACCCGGAGGGAACCCACGCAUUCACGGGGAGAACAUGCAAACUCCACACAGAAAGAUCCCGAGCCUGGAUUUGAACCCAGGACUGCAGGAACUUUGUAUUGUGAGGCAGACGCACUAACCCCUCUGCCACCGUGAAGCCCCAACGAGGAAUCGUCGAACAAAAAACUUUAUUUGUUUCAGCGAACCUCAGACAGGAACUGCAGCUUACAGGAGGAAGCGUAUGGGCCUCAUUACUCUUUUGAUGUCCUCUCGGACCACUGUCCCUGUCACACCGUGGUGAGGGAUGUCUUGUCUUGGCUUUUUUGUUUCUUGUGAAUUUCAUGUUUUAGUUUGAAAAGUAACUCCUCUCGUUUCAGGUCACCUGCCCUUCCUUAUGUCAUCAGUCUGACGUCAUCCCUGAUCCUUGAUUGUUUUCACCUGUUCCCCAUUACCCCCAUGUGUCUUAUAAGCCCACGCCUCCCUUUGUUCUUUGCCAGAAUGUCUCGUGCAUCUCCAGCAUCAUACCCAGGCCGUGUCUUGUCUUGUUAUCCAGAUCCUGAAUUUCCAAUUUGGUAUUUUGACUUUUUCCUUUUCUCCUCUUAAGCAGAGUGAAAUUUUGUUUGUUAAGUUCUCUAGUCUUCUUUUCCUAAUUUUUCAGUGACUUUUUGUUAAUUAUUUCUCUAGAUAAAAAUCAGUGUAGAAACUUUAUAGCCCGUUGUUUUUCCCUCAUUUCUGGGGCAUCUUUUGUUGUUUAAUUUUCAUAGUUAUAUUCCUCGCUAGUGUAGUUAGAGAUAGAUAAUUUUGUUUCCUCCUUUUGGAGUGAUGUUUGGUUUGUUCAGAUUUUGUGAAAACUUUUUCGCCUAGUUGUUAAAGUUUAUAGCCAAUGUUUUGCCCUGACUUAAGAGGUGGAAAGUGAACUUUUGAAAAUAAAAGCCUGCCAGAU